UAGUUUAAAGAACAAAUUUCAAGGGAUGU
rnacentral:piRNA from 2 species